rnacentral:rRNA from 1 species
UACGAAGGGGGCUAGCGUUGUUCGGAAUUACUGGGCGUAAAGGGCGCGUAGGCGGUGUGUCAAGUCAGGCGUGAAAGCCCCGGGCUCAACCUGGGAACAGCGCUUGAGACUGGCACGCUCGAGUUCGGGAGAGGAUGGUGGAAUUCCCAGUGUAGAGGUGAAAUUCGUAGAUAUUGGGAAGAACACCGAUGGCGAAGGCAGCCAUCUGGACCGACACUGACGCUCAGGCACGAAAGCGUGGGGAGCAAACAGG